UAUGCUGAACCUGUCAUGCUGUAUGGGGAUGCUGACAUGAAUCAUAAGAAGACAACAGUAUAUGUGCUACAAGUGCUAUUAAUGUUGCUGAAAUUAAAAUUCAAGGGAAACCACCUAAAAACAAAAAUAUAGUGGAUGAAUCUUUUGCUGGAAAUCAGGAUACCUCACAUCAAACACAUACGAACAGUAUCGUGGGUCUAGAAAAUGUUGAUUUGGGUAACUCCGUUGCUGUUGUUAGCUUUAAUGCUAGAGAGGAAAGCGAAAACUUCCCUAAUGGGUCUCCUGCAUCAUCUUUAAAUGCCGAAACAUUUGUGGCAUUAGAAGCCUUAGAGUGUAUGUCUCAUUUAUCUGUUCAACCUGUAGAGACUUCUUUGUCAUUGAAGGAUACAUGUGAAACCAUGUCUGGAGUGCUCAGUAGCUAGCGAAGUAUCAAAGAACUCUUUCUCUUCCACACAAGAAUUUGAGGUAACUUCUCUUGAUGCAGUGGUUAGCAAGUCUUUAAGAAAGUCAAAAUCCAGCAAUGGGAGAGAGACACAUGAUCCCUUAAAACCCUGUCCUUUCGUGAAAACUUCGCGUGAAUCAACUUUAGUGAAGACGGUGAAAUAGAGGAAUAAUGCUGUGAAUUCCAGACCCCUGCCUGAUGUGGAAAGCAUGUUGCAAGUUUCACAAUCUAAAUUCAAGAAACCACCGGAUGGCUCCUUACAUGGCCAUUUUGAAGCAGUAGAAGAGAAACUGAAUGAGUUGCUGGAUCAUAAUGGUGGAAUAAGCAAACGCAAGGAUGCGUCAAGGUGCUACUUGAAACUCCUCCUUUUAACUGCUGCUUCAGGGGAUGGCUAUAAUGGUGAAGCUAUCCAGAG